rnacentral:rRNA from 1 species
UACAGAGGUCUCAAGCGUUGUUCGGAAUCACUGGGCGUAAAGGGUGCGUAGGCGGUGCGGCAAGUCAGAUGUGAAAUCCCGGGGCUCAACCUCGGAACUGCAUCCGAUACUGCCGGACUUGAGGGCUGGAGAGGUGUAUGGAAUUCAUGGUGGAGCAGUGAAAUGCGUAGAUAUCAGGAGGAACACCUGUGGCGAAAGCGGCGCACUGGACCACAACUGACGCUGAGGCGCGAAAGCUAGGGGAGCAAACAGG